CAUAUCAUUGAAAAGAAAAGAUUGAUAUGUAUCUUUUGAUCACUGGGAUAUGUAUCACUCUUUUGUAUCUCUAUAUCCUUUCGUAUCUGCGAGUGACAUUGUACUGUUGCUCAGAGUGACUCGCUUCGUUCAAUUCAAUCCAAUGUAUCACUAAAUCAGUACGAACUAAGAGUGAUAGAUUCGUUUAGGAUAGAUUGAUUCGUAUAUCAGUUUAUAAUAUUUUUAAGUUUUAUUUUUUUUUAAGUUUUUAUUUUUCAUUUUAAAUUUAAGUUUACGAUUUAUGUAAUUGGCUGUUAAAGCCGUGUAAAUCGAAUAAAUAAAUAAAAAUAAUAGUCAAACACUUAUACUCGGUAUCGAGAAAGUGAGACAGAACAUUCUAAGUAGGGAAGUGCGAAAGAGAUGUCUGGACUUUCCGAUGAGAAACCGUGACGCGAGCCGCUCAACGCUGUGUGUGCGAGUGCAACACAGAUACAAACGGACGACGAUUGAAUGAGUUGUUAAAGAUACACUGAUACAUUCGGAUUUGAACUGAUACAAAGAGUGAGUGAUUAGAACGGAAAGAUAUAUAUCUUUUUUAUCUAUCACUCCUGAGUUACCCAUCUCUAAUGUCAUGGUAGUUGUGCUGUCAAAUAGGUGCUCUUCGUGACUUAUUUUUGCUAUUUUAUAGAAUAUCACUCGUGUUUACUUUUAAGACUUUACUAUUUCAAUAGUGAAAUAAUCAACGAAUAUGCCUAUGUGUUGUAUUGUGAAGUGUGGUGCUAGGAAGCACCAAAAUCAAGCUGGAUUGUCUUUACACAGUGCUUCCGCACAGACGAGCAAAUCGGAAUGCAAGUUGCAAUAUUUGCUUGAGAACUUAGUUACCGAGUAU
rnacentral:lncRNA from 1 species